CACGUAGGGUGCGAGCGUUGUCCGGAAUUAUUGGGCGUAAAGAGCUCGUAGGCGGUGUGUCGCGUCGGCCGUGAAAACCUGCAGCUUAACUGUGGGCUUGCGGUCGAUACGGCAUCACUGGAGUUCGGCAGGGGAGACUGGAAUUCCUGGUGUAGCGGUGAAAUGCGCAGAUAUCAGGAGGAACACCGGUGGCGAAGGCGGGUCUCUGGGCCGAUACUGACGCUGAGGAGCGAAAGCGUGGGGAGCGAAUGAUG
rnacentral:rRNA from 1 species